rnacentral:lncRNA from 1 species
AAUCAGGGCCCAAUCAGCUGACUGUCAGCUGGGACGGGCUGGCUUAACCCUUCCUGCGCCGCUGCCUACCCGGGAGGGAACGAGGCCCGGCGCAAAGUUUGGUGUAAGAGGGGAAGGAGUUUUUCCAGAGGGGCUUCGGCAAUCCGGGCGGACCUGGGAGGGCGGUUUGCUUUUCUUUGGAGCGCGAGACAGGCCUCCCAUCCGGAGCCCCAGCUCGCUGGGGGCUCACUCGGCUGGGAUUGGCCUGAUUCCCCUCCCCUGCCUGCCCUCCACCCCCAGGAUUGUGAAUUCGCCUCCCAGCUUUUCCUCCUCGCACCAACUCUGGUACCCAGGUGUCUGCCGGGGACCUUCCUUCCCUGAGCCUGGCCGUGCCCGGCGCUCAAACUUGGCCCCAACUCUUUGUCCGUCUCUCGGGCGCCCGUGCGGGGAAGGGACCGGGAAGGGAGGGAUGCAGUGGGGUGUCCGGAUCGGGGCUGCGGGCUGGGCGCCGCCCGGCCAUGCGCCUGCCCAGAAGGCUGGGCAUCCGUGGAGAGGGAAAGCCCAUUUUAUCCCUCUCUUUACAACGAGGUAAAAUAAGUUGUUUAGAGGCCAUUCUUCACGGAGACCGGCUGCCCGCUGGCGUCGCGUGCCCUUGGACAGAGCGAGCGCCUAUGCGAGAUAACUCCGGGGAAGCUCAAAGUCAGGUCAGCCGGGCUCAGCCUUCCGGCUCCUGACUGGCCGGAGUUUGGCCUUUGAGACUCAUAUUGCGCGCUCGCUCUCUCUCUCUCUUACACACACACACACAAACACACACACACUCACACUCACCCGUCCCCUUACGAAAUCUGACCUCUGUUUAUCAGGGUCAGGCGCGCCCUUUGCACUUUUACGUUUCCUUUAAUUAUUUCGGACUUGAUCGUGGCAGGGAGCAAGGGGGAAAAACAAUACCCCAGCCCUCACCAGCUACCCUCGAAGGGUUAAAUUUUAAACCGCGGUUUCUGGAACUAGUCCGGAAACGCAGAGUGGGGGGUGGGGUGGGGGAGGCUGCUCCCCCCACCCCCAGUUGCAAAUGCUAAUAAGUAGUUCAAAUUUCUAGAUUGAUUCUCUAAAAGUUUAUGCAAAAAAGAAAUAAAAAAGAAAAAGAAAAAAGAAGGAAACCAACAACUAACUCUGUUUCUAAGAUUUUAAAGCGAUAGGCAAGUCGAAGAAGCAGAGAUUUAUUUGGAGAGAAAGCUCCUGAAACCGACCCAGCCUUUGGAAGACCAGCCCGUCUGCUUAGAAGUUGGGACUGUUGAUUCCUUCAAUUAAUGAAAUGCAUUUGGUGUUUUUAAUCGUAUUUAUUUUACUUUAUGAGAAGGGGGAGACGCUAGGAGGGUGCAUUAAAAAAAAAAAAAAAUUCUGAAAAGCCUGCAAAAGGAUCGAAGAGUGGAAACUAUUGUUGGAGCGAGUUGGUUUUUACCUCAACAGCGCCACCUUUCGGCAAAGGUUUCUUCCUUGGAAAACAAUAUACAUCACUUAAUGAAAUCUUUGUUUGUUUUGCACAAGAGAUGUAAAAAAUCCAGAUGUUUUCUUCAGUGAGAAUUCCUGGGAAGGUGUACCAGCCUUCUUCUCUUUCUUCACCUGACAAAGACACCCAACACGGCCUCUCAGACCGGAGGUGUUUAAUAUAUAGUUUUGACACGCAUGAACAUGGGAAUGAAAGGGCUCCUUUUGGUUUUAGACAAUAGACAGAGCUAUAAAAUGAUGAUGGAGCCUGUUUUCCCCACUCUUGUCAUUUUAAGUCAAUAGAUUUCCUGGGUUUCUUCCCCCGCCCCCCCACUUUGCCUUUUCAGGGGAUAGGCAUCUCCUUAGAUUUUUGUUUUUCUUCACUUAGGGUCAGCUUUAUGAUUCGUUCUUCUGCUGUCAUCCUUUUUCAUCCUAUUCACAGCCUGUACCGGUGAGGGAAUUUGUCUCAAAAGCAUUCAGCCCUUCAAAGAUUUUUAUUGUGGUGAACUCAGAACUGAUAAACAGAAAAACAGAAACAGAAAAAGGGAACUGAUAUGGGGGCGAUCUUGAUGCGGGUUGUGUCUCUCAUGCAUGAUAACUCAGAGGACAGGCUCCUCGGUAGUGCGGUAGUGCUAACUCUGUGAAGUUUCUUCACCCUCCUUCCUAGCCCUGGAGGCGGGGUGAUUCAUAGCUCCUGUUCCAAAGGCAUUCAGCAGCCAUUCGACCUGGGAAAGAAACAGAGUUUUAGAAAAUACAGGCCAAAUGUAGAGACGCCUGUGAUUACCAGGAUGAGUAUGUCAGUGCAGGUGGCUUCUGAAUUUCUGUUUCUGAGUUUGUUUGGCUGAUGCCUAAGGAAAGGGGUCCCUUACAGCCCUGUUUUAUACCUUAGUUCUUGGUGGCAACGUGGGUGUUGCUGAUCUCUCUGAUGUGUUUUUCUGUGCACUGAAAACACCAGACAUGCUCCGUGACAUCCUCGGAGCAUCUCCCAUCAUAAUGGAGUGUUCCUAACCUGACAAAGAAUAGCAUAUUACCUCCCCAUCUACUCAAAAUAAAAUUAUAGUAAAAUUUAUCGCCCUUCUGCUAAUAUUUUUUAUUUAGUAACUUUAUAACAGUGAUACAUACUCCUUAUUAAAUAUAAACAUUUGAACAGGACAGAAAUAGAAGGAUAUUCAAUAAAAGAACUGCUACUCCUCAUCUCCACCCCAGUCCUUAAACCCUGGUCUCGGGGGUUACCAUCUGUAAUAGUUGGGGUAUAUGUGGGUACUUUUUACAGAAUGGCAUCGAAGCAUGUACAUAGUUCUUUAACUUGUGCUCCCUUUAAAACACAUUCAUGUUAACAAUCUCAGAAAGAGAUGUUGGGCACUUCUGUCUUCUUUGGCAGAACUCGCCUAAUGGAACCUCAGACCGGGGGAAGUUUGGAGAUCUGAUCUUAACCUCGUCCUUCCAACCGGUAUAGGAGCUUGAAUCUGCUUUAGAUCACCAACUUCCCUGCCAUUUCCUGACGCCAAUUUUGAAGCCAGGGGGCUCAGAGGCAUUUUCUUCAACAGAAGAGUUCAGAGUUUCAGUGUCCACCUUUGAGCUGCAACUAGUCCCUCAGUGGUGUAAAUAUGCAUGCUGCUGCAGAAUCUCCUGUUCCAGGAUCCCACCUCGACCCCUUUCAGAGAAAUCUGGGAAUGAGAGAAGGAACCGGCCCAGGAGUGAUUUAUGACCUGCUGUCUGUGUCCUGCCUGAGGAAGCAUGGCUCUGGCUGUUUGAAGCAGACCCAGACUGGGAUCCUCAGAGAUUGGAAGGAGUGAUGGGGACCCUUCAGGAAAAUGUCACCGACCGUUGACUCUCAGCUCAGCUCGAAGCUGCUGAUGAGGGGGCUGCAAAUGGACUGAGCUGCGUGAAGCGGUAAAAAACAAACCUGCUUGCAUGGAAGGAAUGUUCCUAGCCAUUUGAGGCUGAAUAUAGGGGAGAUACAAAGCACAGAUCCACUGUUGGGCAACCAUGAUGGGCCACCUGCCAAGGAGAUGGGAGAACCAGGGCCUGGAAAGGAGGAGCAUCUGCGAAGCACAGCCUGAACCAUGAAGCCUCCCCAGGCAUCAAGUCACCCAGGGGGCUGUGGACUGCGGGGGAGUGUUGUGGGGUGAGGAGCCUGGGGCUCAGACCAGCCUGCGGUAAGCAUCCUCCUACACCAAGGAGCCAAAAUGACUGCACAGUGCGAGGGCGGCGAUGCAGGCUUGGAAAACAAAACCCGCCUCCUCUCUGUCUCCUCUGAUGGGAAGCCAGGGCCAAUGGAGGGGUCUGGUUCAGGGCCCAGAGCCACCAAAACCACUUGGCUCUUGAAUGAUCUGACUUGAGGGCUAACCUAAGCCUUGUGAAAUCCCAAGAGAAUAACCUCAGGUUCUUUAAUUCUAGUGCAGACUUUAGAUGCUGUUGGAAGAGAAGAAAAGGAAAUAGUGACCCAAGUCAGUAAUUGUACUUUCCAGUAGUCCCAAAGCAUAGUUUAUAUGAGCAUCCUAUAAGAGGCCACUGGCAUCUUAAUAAAGGUAGUUAAUAGUACACAUUGCUAGUCAGUAACAGCCACACCUUGCACCCAUUUGAUAGAACCCCAAGGGUCAGAAGAUGAUCUACUGAAUAUGGCCCAGCAGGGUAACAGGAACCGAGGGGUCCUUGAAGACAGCGUCCAGCCAGGGCAUCCAAUCUGGAAUUUCCCCUCACCUACAGAUCUCUGAGUAAGAUAAAUAUUUCAUUUUGCAAGCUCUGUGUUUUGUUACUUGCAGCUAAGAGCAUUCUAACUCACAUAAUUUCUUCAGAGACACUUCUGUAAUAUGCCUACUUCUGAAUGAACUCAUGCUUCCCACACUACCCCUUGAAUACUUCUUUUACGGAGUUUACCAUUGCCUAUUUGUCUUACAUCUGUCAUACAUCUAUGAGCUCUUUGAAGACAGGGAUAGUGUCUUAUAUUCCAUCUAUUCAAAUCCCCAAUUAAGUAUAUAAAUGGAUAAAUACGUGUAGUCAAUUACUUUGGAAAUUAGAUAUUGUUGUGAGUAUAACAGGGUGUGUUUCUUGGGUGGCCCGUAAGGUCAACAGGGAGAUUUCCUUGUCCCAGAAUUAAAUGAGGAAGGUCGACUUCUGCUCCAGCCUUGAAAACUCUCGUGAGGAUGGAAGCAUGUUCAUUAUUUGUCAGUAUAAUUUAAACUCGAUUAAAGUUCCACCUCCCCAAAAAAAUGACACAAGGAAAACUUGAUAUCUAGUGCUGAUGAAUUAUGUGUUCCUGGGUCUUUUCUCCCCCCAUCUUCACUUCUUAUCUGCACAAAAGAAUGUUCUUUUUGUUUUUGACUGACUUUACCAGAAG